rnacentral:pre_miRNA from 1 species
GGAAGACACAUCAUUGAGUGCAGCGUUGAUGAAUUCUUUCACUUUUUGCCAACUCUAUCUCAGAUGAAUUCGCCAGCGCUGCACUCAAUCAUGUGUUUU